UACGUAGGCAGCAAGCGUUGUUCGGAGUUACUGGGCGUAAAGGGUGUGUAGGCGGUUGUUUUAAGUUUGGUGUGAAAUCUCCCGGCUCAACCGGGGAGGGUGCGCCGAAUACUGAAUAACUAGAGUGCGGGAGAGGAAAGUGGAAUUCCUGGUGUAGCGGUGAAAUGCGUAGAUAUCAGGAGGAACACCGGUGGUGUAGACGGCUUUCUGGACCGUAACUGACGCUGAGACACGAAAAGCGUGGGGUAGCAAAACAGGG
rnacentral:rRNA from 1 species